rnacentral:rRNA from 1 species
CCUACGGGAGGCAGCAGUGGGGAAUAUUGGGCAAUGGGCGCAAGCCUGACCCAGCAACGCCGCGUGAAGGAAGAAGGCUUUCGGGUUGUAAACUUCUUUUCUCAGGGACGAAGCAAGUGACGGUACCUGAGGAAUAAGCCACGGCUAACUACGUGCCAGCAGCCGCGGUAAUACGUAGGUGGCAAGCGUUAUCCGAAUUUACUGGGUGUAGAGGGCGUGUAGGCGGGACUGCAAGUCAGAUGUGAAAACCAUGGGCUAAACCUAUGGCCUGCAUUUGAAACUGUAGUUCUUGAGUACUGGAGAGGUAGAAGGAAUUCGUAGUGUAGCGGUGAAAUGCGUAGAUAUUAGGAGGAACACCAGUUGCGAAGGCGGUUCGCUGGACAGCAACUGACGCUGAGGCGCGAAAGCGUGGGGAGCAAACAGGAUUAGAUACCCUUGUAGUC